rnacentral:rRNA from 1 species
CCUACGGGAGGCAGCAGUGGGGAAUUUUGCGCAAUGCUCGUAAGAGUGACGCAGCGACGCCGCGUGAAUGACGACUGCCUUCGGGUCGUAAAGUUCUUUCGACAGGGAAGAAAAUGCCUAUCAGUAACUGUGUAUGUAUUGACGGUACAUGUAUAAGCAGCUCAGGCUAACUCCGUGCCAGCAGCCGCGGUCAUGCGGAGGGGGCGAGCGUUGUUCGGGGUGACUGGGCGUAAAGGGCUCGUAGGUGGUGUUGUUAGUCAUUAGGCAAAGACUAGAGCUCAACUUUAGUAAGGCUAGUGAUACUAUAAUACGAGAGUAUCAGAGAGGAUUGCAGAAUGCCUGGUGUAGCGGUGAAAUGCGUAGAUAUCAGGAGGAAUACCGAUAGCGAAGGCGGCAAACUGGCUGGAAACUGACGCUGAGGUGCGAAAGCGUGGGUAUCAAACAGGAUUAGAUACCCCAGUAGUC